UACGUAGGGUGCGAGCGUUGUCCGGAAUUAUUGGGCGUAAAGAGCUCGUAGGCGGUGUGUCACGUCGGCCGUGAAAACCUGCAGCUUAACUGUGGGCGUGCGGUCGAUACGGGCAUCACUGGAGUUCGGCAGGGGAGACUGGAAUUCCUGGUGUAGCGGUGAAAUGCGCAGAUAUCAGGAGGAACACUGGUGGCGAAGGCGGGUCUCUGGGCCGAUACUGACGCUGAGGAGCGAAAGCGUGGGGAGCAAACAGG
rnacentral:rRNA from 1 species